GGGCCCAUAGUUUAACGGUAGAACAUCUGGCUGGCAGUCAGAUAGUUGGAGUUCGAUUCUCCAUGGGUCCA
rnacentral:tRNA from 2 species